rnacentral:rRNA from 1 species
AUUGAACGCUGGCGGCAUGCCUUACACAUGCAAGUCGAACGGCAGCACGGGAGCAAUCCUGGUGGCGAGUGGCGAACGGGUGAGUAAAGUAUCGGAACGUGCCCAGUCGUGGGGGAUAACGUAGCGAAAGUUACGCUAAUACCGCAUACGAUCUAUGGAUGAAAGCGGGGGAUCGCAAGACCUCGCGCGAUUGGAGCGGCCGAUAUCAGAUUAGGUAGUUGGUGGGGUAAAGGCUCACCAAGCCGACGAUCUGUAGCUGGUCUGGGAGGACGACCAGCCACACUGGGACUGAGACACGGCCCAGACUCCUACGGGAGGCAGCAGUGGGGAAUUUUGGACAAUGGGCGAAAGCCUGAUCCAGCCAUGCCGCGUGCAGGAAGAAGGCCUUCGGGUUGUAAACUGCUUUUGUACGGAACGAAAGGGUUUGGCCUAAUAAGCUGAGCUCAUGACGGUACCGUAAGAAUAAGCACCGGCUAACUAUGUGCCAGCCGCCGCCGUAA